rnacentral:rRNA from 38 species
AGACCUCUAAUCGGAAAAGACUACCCGCUGAGUUUAA